rnacentral:rRNA from 1 species
AUGGAGCGUCRUAGAGGGUGAGAAUCCCGUCUUUGGMAUGGAACCCCAGGGCUUCUGUGAUGCGCUCUCAAAGAGUCGAGUUGUUUGGRAAUGCAGCUCAAAAUGGGUGGUGAACUCCAUCUAAAGCUAAAUAUUGGCGAGAGACCGAUAGCGAACAAGUACCGUGAGGGAAAGAUGAAAAGCACUUUGGAAAGAGAGUGAAACAGUACGUGAAAUUGUUGAAAGGGAAACGCUUCAAGUCAGUCGCGUCGACCGAGACUCAGCCUCGCCUUGGCUUGGUGUACUUCUCGGCCCGACGGGUCAGCAUCAAUUUCGAUCCUUGGAUAAUGGCAAGGGAAAGGUGGCACCUUUACAGGUGUGUUAUAGUCCUCUGUCGGAUGCAAGGGUCGGGAUUGAGGAACUCAGCAUGCACCUCAUCGGUGUCGGGGCCUCGGCCUACGUUACGUGCUUAGGAUGCUGGCAUAAUGGCUUUAAACGACCCGUCUUGAAACACGGACCAAGGAGUCUAACAUGCACGCGAGUGUUCGGGUGGAAAACCCGUGCGCGUAAUGAAAGUAAAAGUUGGGACCUCUGUCGUGGGAGGGCACCGACGCCCGGACCAGACCUUUCUGUGACGGCUCUGCGGUAGAGCGUGUAUGUUGGGACCCGAAAGAUGGUGAACUAUGCCUGAAUAGGGUGAAGCCAGAGGAAACUCUGGUGGAGGCUCGUAGCGAUUCUGACGUGCAAAUCGAUCGUCAAUUUGGGUA